rnacentral:lncRNA from 1 species
AAGACAUGUACUCCAUACUUCCAACAAAAACUCCUUCUGUGAGUGGAGAAGAUACAAUGCUUUCUCCCUAAGUUCAAAUGAUUCUACGUGGGAGGAGAUUAAAAAUGGUAAAGUAAGAACAAGCUGCAAAAUAGACCCUCUUUGAAAUGUGAAUCAAAACAUUUUGAAAACAACCUAGCAAAGAAAAAAGAAGUAGAACUCUGGGAAUCAAGAAAAAGCUGGUAGGAAAACUAGAAACUAGAGAGAAACUGAAAAGGAUGCAAAGAAAAG